CCUACGGGAGGCAGCAGCGACGAAUCUUCCGCAAUGCGCGAAAGCGUGACGGAGCAAUGCCGCGUGCGGGAUGAAGCGGCUUCGCCGUGUAAACCGCUGUCAGGGGUUAGAAAUACUGAUCAACCCCAAAGGAAGGGCCGGCUAACCUCGUGCCAGCAGCCGCGGUAAU
rnacentral:rRNA from 1 species